CGCUAUCAUCAUUAUUUUCAUUAUUACCUUCAUUAUCUGUACGAUAAUUUCUGUACUUUACAGCCGGCCUACUGGGCCGGUUUUUUAU
rnacentral:other from 1 species